rnacentral:rRNA from 1 species
CGGGUGAGUAACACGUAUGCAAUCCACCUGUAACAGGGGGAUAACCCGGAGAAAUCCGACUAAUACCCAUAAUAUGGGCGCUCCGCAUGGAGAGUCCAUUAAAGAGAGCAAUCUUGGUUACAGACGAGCAUGCGCUCCAUUAGCCAGUUGGCGGGGUAACGGCCCACCAAGGCGAUGAUGGAUAGGGGUUCUGAGAGGAAGGUCCCCCACAUUGGAACUGAGACACGGUCCAA